rnacentral:lncRNA from 1 species
CAAAUUGCUUGCUGAACAGAUGGCUAAGCUCGGUCGCGAAAAUGAGGAGAUCAGUGGUGAUGAAGAUAGUGAAGAGGAGGAAGAUACCGGGAUGGGAGAAAUUGAUGUGGAGAACUCAGGAACUGGAAUUAGAGAGUAAAAAGUGUGGCUUGUAUGAACUUGGAUAACACAUUCUUCACAGAUGCAGAUGCAGAUGCAGAUCCUACAGAAGCUACCUCACCUUUUGUUCUUGUCUUUUUGUAGCCAUAUGCUUACUUACUCUGGCAAUUUCUCUUGACGAGCAUUUUAGUUUUUACAUGAAAUCACUCUUGAUAGUUAUGUUGGUGCGGAUAUUUGAUAAUUCCAAUCGCAUUAGUACAUUUUGCAAUGAGAAUGAACAACUGUACAUCUUGUUCUUUCAAUUCUCCCUCAUAAAUGUAUAUUUGGACUAGUCAGUUUUUGGCAUCCCUUCUCUUCCAUAUAGGCGGGACUAGUGUUGAGCAAUGGUUAUGACAGAGCUGGUGAAUGUGUCUGUUGCGUUUUUGAGAAGCUUAGAAAGUCUUCCAAUGCGUUAUAAUCUAUCCGAUGAACACGGUGCUUCGGUCUUACUGUCUCAUCUUGAGACAUUUGUCGAAGGUUCUGCCUCUGAUGCUUUAACUUGCGUAUGUUCAGCUAUUAGUGUAAGAAAUUAUACUCAAGUAGGUGCACAUUGGUACGGUAUGCUGACAUGUUGACUUGGGCACCAAGCUAGGUUGGCUAUAGAAGAUUGUUUGUAUUUAAGUUCAGUUUAGCUUGGCUCAGAUUGGUUUUGGUCGAAGCUUGAUUUGGCAAGGUUUUGAUCCCAGUUCGCUUAGGCCCAAUUUGGCUUGAAUAAAAUUAGGUUAAAGAUCGAUUGAACCUGAUUUAAGUGGAGGUUAUAUGGAAUGACAUGAUUAGUGAGGUUUCAUACCACUAGCCUUUUGUUGUGUGACUGUGAGAGUUAAAUUUAAUGUUACAUAUUGCUAAACUCUAUUUGCAUUUGACUAGAGUUACAAUCUAAACUAGCAAAACUCUUUUUUUUUUUAACAUCAAUCACAUUUGAAUCGAAACUGUUAAGUAAUUUUUAUAGUUUUCCUAUUCAAUUGGUUGUUUAUUUGCAUCAAAUUUCUAAAGGCCUAUGGCAACGCAUGGUAGCAAAAGUUAAGAGAUUCUAUUCACGCUUUGCUUCAGAUGUGUUUUACCAUAAGAAAGCUGGUCUCUAGCUCGACCCAAUUUGGUAUUGCAGCAGGCGUAUUGAGUUUUGUUUAACUCGGGCUCUCACUCAGCUUGAUAUUGUAGUAAGUUCGGUUGCUCGAAGCAUUUUUUAUACACUAUCAUCUGGAAUUGUUUGCGAUUUGGUUACUGUAUAUCAACCUUCUACAGGCUCAUUUUGCUUUCCUCCAGCGACAUAGUUUCGUUUUAUUGUUUGAAUCCUCGUGGCGAUGUUUUUGGCCAGUAUCUAGUAUAGUUAGCAGUGUGUUUUAUUUUUGUUCUAGUUUUCCUAUUUGUUAUCAUCCUUCUCCUUUCCCUUUGUGCUUCUUUGUUGGUUGAACAGUUCAUUCUGCUGCAAAUGAUGUUGAUGCCUACAGAACAGCUGUUCACAUGAUCUGUAUAAGUGUAGGUACUUCUUGCUUCUCAUCAACAAUGCAACGGUGAAGCAUAAAAGGUAGUAUAGACAAUGGUUGUGAUAUUGCCUGCUUCAGGGGUUAGUUGAUAGCUAAACUAUCACCGCUAUAGUAUGGGUUAGCUCACCAUAUGAUAGAAAUGCUGCUUCAGAAGCAGAAAAAAGCAGCAACAUUCUAGAGAAAAGCAAUAAGCAGAAUUUACUGCACCCUUUUUGAGAAGAGAAUUUACUAUACUGCGCUUAUGACAAAAGUGAAGACACUAGCCUUGAUUAAUUAAAACCAUAUUUUUGACAACCUUAGUGACUACUUUUGGCAAGAGUUAUUUUGAAAUUUAUGUCUAAAGUAGUAAAUAUGAAAUUUAUUCAUGCAAUAGUAAAUCUAAAAUUUAUUAAAGAAACAAGUGCAUGUCAUGGUAAACUUGGAGUUUACUAGUAUAAAAGUUCAUAAAUUGGCAUAAACGAUUGUGACAUCCGAAGAUGUGCAUAUUGAGUAUUGGACAUAUAAUGAAGAAUUAGAAGAUUUUUCAAGAAUUAUUCAUGUUAUUUGUUCUCAUGAUAAGUUGGUUGGACCAAUUAAUAUUGGGAUUGAACCCCUUAAAUCUGAAAAGUAUAAAGGUGAAUAUGAGUCCGUUCACCUGUCAUGUGAUCUAUUAACAACAACAACAACAAACCCAGUGUAUUCCCACUUAGUGGGGUCUGGGGGGGUAAGAUGUACGCAGUCCAUACCUCUACCUCUGAUGAAGUAGAAAGGCUGUUUCCGAAAGACCCCCGGCUCAAGUCACGAGAUAUCACACAAACACAUAGGACAGCACAGCAGCAGAUGACAUAACAUAGAUACGGCACCCAUAAGGAAUAUAAAACAAACAGGAAUCCCCCCCCACCACUUAAUUCCCUACACUAGCGACCCGAACUGGCCCUAAUCCUCUGCCGUAAUUCGCAUCUUCCAGCCCUUCCUAUCUAGGGUCAUGUCCUCGGUGAGCUGUAACUGUUCCAUGUCCCGCCUAGUCUUAAGAUGCAUCAAUAUAAGAUAAUCACAUGUAUAUUGUCAACCGGCUGUUGACAUUCAUAGAUUUUCUUGUUUAAUAUAAAUUGAGUUAAGAGCAUAAUUUUCAGAUUGUGUAAUCAAAGCAAUUCAUCUUGAUACUGUUGAUUAGAGAUAAAAUGACUAUGAUAAAUAGAUAAACCAUUGCUAAUGAGAACAAAAACUUCAUGUGUUGAUUUGAAAUAUUAUAUAAAUAAGUACUUGUAUGCAUCAAAUUAAUAAAUUAUGAUUAAUUCCCCUUCAAAGUUGGUUCUGAGUCAGGAAUCACACAUUAUCUAUCUAAUAAUUUUAUGUGCGGUAUUCGAUUAAUGAAUAUAUCAUGAUGCAUAAAGAUGGAUCCUCAAAGAAUAUGUAGGAUGCAUGUUAGUUUUCCUGACAUAAGGAGGAGAUUAUAAACAGCUAUGGAGUAUGUUAGGAAUUAUUAUUAGAUCCCCAUUCAAAAGAUAAUUCAAUUCAAAUACCGAAAGUAUCUCAUAUUAAACUGAAAGUGCUCCUAUUUUGUGUCCCUAAAGGACAAAGUAUGCAUGCGUGAAGCGUGGUAGAUCAAUCGAUUCUAAAUGCAAUAAUCCUUGAAAAGGAUAAGGAGCAAAUGAUCAUAAUAAGAAGGCAAUGUGCUCUUGAAGAACCUACGACAUAACACUUCAUGAAACCUUAUAGGAGGUUCAGGUACCUGAAAAUAAUGAAGUGAUGAAAUCUCAAAAUGUUAUGUCAUACUGUGAACUGAUAUGAAAUGAAAUAUCAUUAAUAUCUUUGAUACAAUAUUGGCGCAAUAUUGUAAAAGAUUAUGAGGACCUGAAUUCUAUGUUUAUUUAAGUAUGUUGACGUAAAGAUAUUUAUCAAGUGACAUGAAAGGAUGCAUCUUGAUAAGCAUAACACUUAUUUGAUUUGUAGCCCAGACACUUGAAGAUGUCACACAUGAAAUAUUGAAUAUUGUCACUUGACAAAAUUUAUAUGAAAACUUUUUUAAGGAUUCAAAAUGUUUGAAGCAUAUAAAAGUUUCUGGAAAACUUAUUUAUAAUCGUUAUAUUGUAUAAGCUUAUAACUUGUAAAUUAUUGGAACUCUUGGAGAAUUUUCAAAAGCAAUAGAUUAUUUGUUGGAAUGAGAAAUAUAUCGAAUUGGAUUGGUAAUAUAUCUUAGUGCAAUUGGUGUGCUAAUAUAUCUUGUAACUACUACAAGGUUCGAUAUAACCUUUCGAUCAAUUUGUUAGUAAGGUAUAGUUCUGCUCCUACUAUGAGACAUUAGAAUAAGAUUAAACAUAUGAGUUUAUUUAAUUUUAAAGACUGUAGUCCCGAUCAUGUUGGUUAUGUUGAUGCUGGGUACUCAUCCGAUCCAUAGGUACCCAUACAAUAAAUCUGAUCUAACCACCACUCUUUAGAACUUAUAGGAGGUACUUUUUUAUCACACAAGAUUUCGAAAAUGAGCUUUCAUUUCAUCCACCCUACCCGAAUCCAAGAGUGACAUCCUCAUUAAACUCACUAUUCUCCUGAAUCAUAGGUCCUAAAUACUUGAAAUUGUUUCUCUUAUUGAUAAAAUGAGUAUCAAGUUUAACAAUCACAUCGGACUCAUGAGAUACCUCACUGAACUUACGCUCCAAAUAUUCCGUCUUGGACCUACUCAACCUAAACCCUUUAGACUCAAGGGUCUGCCUCCAAACCUCCAAUUUAGCAUUAACUCCACUACGUGUCUCAUCAAUUAAUACCACAUCAUACGCAAAAAUCAAAUAGUAAUGCACCUCACUUUAAAUUUGUCGCAUCAAAACAUACAUCACUAAGGCAAAAAGAAACAGACUAAGCGUCGAUCCUUAGUGUAACCCUAUCAAGACGGAAAAGUGCUUAGUCCCCUCCUCCAAUCCUAACUCAAAUCUUGGCGCCGUCGUACAUAUCCUUAAUUGCCUUAAUAUACACCGUACACUUCUCUCCUCCAAACACUUCCAAAGAACCUCUCUCUGGGAACUCUAUCAUAGGUCUUCUCUAAGUCGAUAAACACCAUAUGCAAAUCCUUCUUCCUAACCCUAUACUGCUCUAUCAGUCUCCUAACGAGAUGAAUGGCUUCAGUAGUCGAGCACCCUAGCGUAAAUACAAACUAAUUUUCAGAAAUAGUAACAAUCCUUUGCAACCUCAACUCUACCACCCUCUCCCAACCCUUCAUAGUGUGGCUCAACAACUUUAUACCACUAUAAUUGUUGAAUAUCACCCUUAUUCUUAUACAAUAGAAUCAUCAUAAUUAAACCUUUUAAAUGGACCGGGUUAGCCCGUUCCAGCCAAUUUAGCUCGGCCUAACCGAUGGGCCUGCCCAAUCAGCCCACAGGCUGUAGGGCCGCCAGUCCUAGGCCUGGGCCUGGGCCGGCCAAGUGGAUAAAGACAAAUUGCUACGCUUAUUUUUAAGUUGUAUGAUGAAACAUAUUUCUCUAAUAAGAACUCAGAGACAGAAAACUGUAUUGUGGAAAUUUUUUUAGUAUGAGCUUGAUCAUUUGUCCCAUUUCUAAAGAUUACGGGUGGGUGUGCUCUAAUUUCAAAAAUUUUAGUUUUUAUGGUUAAACGCCCAUUAAUACUUAUAGCAUAAAAUAUUAUUGAUAUUCUUUUGAUUAUUGAAUAACUUUUUGGAAUUUGAUUGCUACCAUUAAUUUAUUAGAGAAAAAAUGGGUAAUAAUUCAUACAUACAUAUAACAUAAUAUAAAGCUCAAUUUAAUUUUUGAGACUUCAUACUUGUGUUUCUUUGACUCUCAAAUACUUUUAUAUGAUUUAGUAGGCAUUUGACUAAGAACUUUUUUUUAACAUUUUUUUCGAAAAUCAUUUCUUUUUGGUGAAAAUAGUAGUUUUUUAUCAUAAAAAUUAUUUUAAUUUACUGAAAAUUAUUUUUGAAAACUUUUUUCAUUCUUAUUUCUCGAGCAAAAUUUUAAAAACAACUCUAAUUUAUGUUUGUGACCAAACACAACAUCAAUUCUAACUUUAAUUCCAACUCCAACUUCAACUCUAAAAAUGAUUAUUUUCAUGGUCAAACGGGCAUUAAUCUUUUAAAAGUCUUCACAAAUAUAACAAGUUACUUUUUUAAUAAAAAUGACGCAACAAAAAUAAAUAACACAAAUGUUGAAUAAAAGUUUUAAAAUAAAGAACAAAUUAAAUUUUAAACGUAGAUUUGGGCCCGGGGUAAAUAGCACCCAUAGAUAGGUAAUAAAAGGAAGGGAUAUAUACCAAAACAGCUAACUUUAGACGCCAAAAAACAAAUUCUUCGUGGAAUCUCUUGUUUCAGCCCCUCCACAGUAAAAAAAACCUUUCUCCAGAAACCCAAAUUUCUUUGAAACCCUAGAAGCAACAGCUACUGGGGCCUACAUUUCCCUUCUGGAGUACAAUAACAUUGAAGGAAUGAUUCUUUUCUCUGAGCUCUCUCGUCGUCGUAUUCGGAGUAUUAGUAGUCUUAUCAAAGUUGGACGCGUCGAACCUGUUAUGGUUCUUAGGGUUUACAAGGAGAAAGGAUAUAUCGAUCUCAGUAAACGUAGGGCUUCUGAAGAAGAUAUUUCGGCUUGUGAGGAGAGGUAUAAUAAGAGUAUGCUUGUUCAUUCUAUCAUGCGUCGUGUUGCUGAAACCAUGGGAAUUGAUCUGGAGGUCAGCUAAUUUCUCAUACCCCAUUUUAUUUUUACUUUGGUGAUAAAGAGAGUUACUUUGAGUUUAACAUAUUAUUUGAAGCUUUUUGUAUAAUUUGUGAUAAAGGAUAGAAAAUGAAUGCAAUGUAUGAGAAGUUAUUGCAAUGUUUGUGAAUGGGAAAGGUGUCAUGUGUAUUUUGAAACUAAGGGAGCAAAGGAUUUGAUUGAAUUUGGAAUUUCAAUUGAACAUGAGGUCUACGGAUAGUAGAAAUUAUUGAAGUGCAAAGCAAAUGGGCUGACUUAGUUAUACAAAAGCAAAUGGGCUGACUUAGUUACUAUGAAAAUAUUGUGACGCAACCUACUGUUAUUCAAAUUCACGACUUGUUCAUAUCAGUUUUAAAGAGUUGAAUCACCGAUGAUCGUAACAAUCUUUUAAGGAAUCAACUAACCUCGAAACAAGUAGAGUAACUUUCAACUAACCAUGAAACAAAAUUAGUCAUAAGAAAUCUAACGCAUAACCACCUACUCAUCAAAAUAGUCUUAAAAAAUCCUAAGUUUCUACAAUACACAAUCCUACCAUUACGCUACUUGCACGAAGAAGAAGAAAUAAUGAGAAAAUUUAAAAGAGAAUGAUGUGUUUACCUUUUUUUGAGCAACGAAUAGGGAUUACGAGCCUGUCACGAUGGAUUUUCACCACCAAAAACUCGACUUGGACUUACCGGCAUUGAAUCGUUCUUGCAGAAACUUAGACGAUUUCAACGAAUUUAGGCGAAUUUCACCAUGAACCUCUUGGUUACGUGAGAUUAGAGGAGCGAUCCUCCAAAAUCCCCAUUUUAUCCCCAAAAAGCCCUCUUCACCUUUAUCCCCCAACCUCUAUUUAUAGGGAAAAGAGAGGGGAGAAUUUUAGGGUUUCAGAUUUAAAAAUGAAAUUUUGAAUUGAUUUUCUUGCAGAAUUUGAGGUCCACAGGCAGAGAGGCACGUACCCGUUGGCUUCUAUUGCCAAAAACGAGUGGACAUGGUCUAAGCAAGGGGAAGUAGACGAAACUCUAGCCAUUCUUGGCUGAAUGUUAAGAAGGUAAAAUGGUAAAAUUGAGGGUGGGGUGGCCAGGUUCUUUGGCGUUGAUAUUGUACUGGUCUGUUGAAAUGGUUUUGCGCAUUUGUUGUUGUACAUCGUUGUUGUCGAAUGCUAUUAUCGUUGAUAUUGCUUGGAAAUUGCGAGUUUGGUACUGAUGGUGUUGUAUACGAGUUUUGCCGUUGUAUUUUCUAUUGGUUUGUUGAGUGCCGUUGUUGAAUGUUGUUGUUACGGUUGUUGAGGCGGUUUUUGGUUGUUGUAUUGUUCUUGAUUGACGUUAAAACGGGUUGAGGGAAAAGGGAAUGAGAAUGGGCCGAGUCGGUGUAAUUGGGCCUGGUGGAACAGGUUGGGGUGACUGGGCAGGCUGGUAAGGGUUUGGUUGAAUUUUGUUAGGUAGAUUAAGAAUUGGGGAUUUAGACCAUUUAUUAAAUAGCCAAAAAUGAGAAUUUAGACAAUUAUACUUAAAUUUUAGCAUAAUUAAAAUUCAAUUGACCCAUUGCAUUGUAAUUAUGGUCAAUUUAGUUUCAAUUAAGUUCUAAUUUAAUAAAUUUACUAAAUUGAAACAAUAUUUGAAACAAAUUAACAACCAAUUCAAUCCCGAACUUCUUGGUUCAAUAAAAUCAAACAAAUAUUUUCAAAUAAAUUAUUUUUAAAUCAAUAUUUUAUCCAUUUGAAUCCAUAUUCCAAAUAACCCUUGAUUAAAAUUUAAUGUUUUCGUAAAAUUAUAUGAUUUCGCAUAUGCAAAUACUAAAUAUACAAUCGCUACUUAAAACGACUAAAACUACCUAGAGAAAUGCUUUGGAAAGCUUUUAUUUGGAUAAUAUAAAUGUUGCAAUCUUAUUUAAAAUUGAAGAAACUCGAAAUUAGACUCAGUCACGGAGGGUAAAAAUUAGGUGUCUACAUACAUGACUUUUUUAGUGUAUGCAAUGGAUAUUUAGUGAAAAAAUAUCACCAUAUCUAUUGAAAAUAAUCUAUUGUUUGAUAUCAAAUAAUUUUUUGUUGCAAUAAAAAAGGUAAUCAGUAUUAGUCAUGGUUAAUAUUGGUAUUGAUUCACUAUAUUAAUUUUGCUUUCUGAUAAUCAGUACAGUCAGGUGCAGGACUUACCAGAAGGGAUAGAGUCAGGAAUGAGACCGUCCGGGAGAAGGUGGGAGUGGCUUCGUUGGAGGAUAAGAUGCGCGAAGAAAGGUUGAGAUAGUUUGGGCAUGUGAUGAGGAGGGGCACAGAUGCCCCAGUUCGGAGGUGCGAGAGAUUAGCGUUAGAUAGCUUUAAGAGAAGGAGAGGUAGGCCGAAGAAGUACUGAAGGGAAGUGAUCAGACAUGAUAUGGAGCAGCUUCUGCUUACUGAGGACAUGACCCUAGAUAGGAAGGUGUGGAGAUCGCGGAUAAAGGUAGAAGGCUAGGUUGUGUGCGUGGAUUUAGUAAGUAGUUAGAAGAGCUCAAGUUGAGUCGGGCUGGUAACCCUAGGAUUAGGUCCAGAGAUAGGAGCCCGAUCAGGCGGGCUUGGGUUUCUUUUUCCUGUUGCACUUAUUUAUUUUAUUGUUUAUUGCUUUGAGUAAUAUUUUUAUUGUGUCUUAUUCCUUUUCUUGUUAUGCCAUCCAUCUUGCUUCUUAUUUAAUUACGCUUUGGUCUACUUUUCUCUAUUUUGAGCUGAGAGUCUAUCGAAAACAACCUCUCUACUUCUCUGGAGGUAGCGGUAUGGAUUGCGUACAUUCUACCCUCCUCAGACCCCACUUGGUAGGAAUACACUGGGUUUGUUGUUGACAAUCUGUAUAGUUCAAUAAUUAUACAAAAAUAUAGUUACAACUUGUAAUAAUCAGUCUAAAAAGUACAUAUAAAAUAUUUUUCACAUGAUAAAACUCAAUCCAUUAACUGGGUAAGGGUAUUAAUUUUAAAGGAUUUUGGGUUGCUGGGAAUUCAUGAUUUCCGUUAAUAAAACUCAUUGAAAGGAUUGUGCAAAAUCGAAUCACUUUGAAGUAGCUUCGUCUUGUUCUUCGAUAAGGAAGAUGGGGUAAAACAUCCCAAAUCAAAGGACGGUCUAGAAAGUAUGAUCGGGUUAUUUUCUUCUAACAAUCUAGAGUUCUUCCUAUUUGGAGUAGAGUCAAAUUUGCACUUUGCAACAUGAUUCAACAAAAAAAAUAAGAAAACAACACUAAGUUGAGUCAAUUUUAUAUCCCAUAUCAUCAAUAUAUGAAGAGAAACCCAAGUUCAUAUGCAAAAGCUAUAAGGUUCAAUAAAAAGGAAGAGAAAAAAAAAAUAAGUUAUGAAAAAGAGAGCUAUUAAUGGUGGAGAAAAUAUUUUGUCAAUAAAGUAACUAUGGAGAAUAGUGUAAACAUUGAAAAAGUAAAAAAUAAAAAUUACUAGAAAGUCAAAAAGUGUACCAAUGUGAAAAAAAAUCUUUACCAAAUUUUACUCUUUAAUUUAAGAACAUAUUUUGCAACUUAAUUGAUAAAGUUAAAAAAAAUAAAAAUAAAGAUAAUUAUUGAAACCAACAAUAAUUUCUACCAUAAUCAUCAAAAUAUUUAAUGAGGAGAGAUAGAUUGUAAAGACUGAAAAUAAGGAGAUAAUAUGACUACUAAUUAUGAAUAAAUAUUUUUUUAUUAAUUAAAAAAUAAUAAUUUUUGAAAAAUUGCUAUAACUUGCAAUUAUUUCUUUAACCCAAUAAUUAUGAAAAAGUGUUGCUUUAAUUUGCAUAAACAAUCUAAUAAAUAUAUACAACAUAGUUUUCACAUAAAAUCAAAAUCAAUAAGUAGUCCAACAACAGGUAUGAACCGACGCAGGCCCAAUUAAACAAACAAAACAAAUCAAAUCUAACUAUAUACAUAUGUACGAUAUCACAACGAAGGGGCUGUUUUUACCAAAAAAAAAAAAAUACGAAGGAGCCGUUUGGUACAAUGUACUAAGAAAAAUAGUCUAUGUAUUAUGUAUGGUAUUAUUUAGUACUAUAUUGGUAGGAUUUUUGGCCUAUGUAUAACUAAUGCAUGUAUUAAUUAUAUAGCCCUAAUUGGUAUUACGAGGAGCAUAACUAAUACAUUCCAUUUGGUGAUAUUAGUAAAACCCUAUUUGGUAUCAUGAGAUGUAUAACUAGUACCUUACAUUUGGUGGUACUGGUUUAGUUUACGUGCUUUGCACGUGUGUCUCGCGUCAAGCAAUAAAAUUAUAUAUAUAAACAAAUCAUUAAAAAAAUACAAAUAGAUGUUAACACGUCAAUCAAUAAAAUUAUAUACAAAAAAAAAAUUAUUAAAAAAAUACAAAUAGAUGUUAACGCGUCAAUCAAUAAAGCUAUAUGUAUAUAAACUUAUUAAAAAAGUGCAUAUAGAUGUUAACAUAAAUUUAUAUCUAUUUAAAUGACAUGAAUAAAUAUUGUACAAAAAUAACAAAUUGUAUGAACUUAUAUAGCAAGGAUUCAUUUAAGUGAUAAAAAUAAACGUGAUAAAUGUUAUAACAAGUCUCUUCAUAAAUAAAAUUAUUGAUGCAUGUAUACCUUAGAACUAUCUUUGUCAGAUAGAGAGUCUGUUUUCGAUAGAUCCUUGACUAACUUACAAAAUUAGGAUUCAAUAGUUAUGUCUUCAAUCUAAAAAUAAUUUUCAAUAUAAUCUCAUAUAUGAAGUCUUUGGAGGAUUAAAUACAUAUUUUAUCAUUAUCUCUGCAGGGUAGAUAGACUGUUCUCAAUUGAUAUUCCUAAUCUAAACCGGGAUAGCAUUAUUAGAUAUGGAUUAGAAGUAAAAAGAUACUUACAUAUAUUUUAAGUUGGUGAAUGAAACUGAAGAAACUACUGUGCUUGAAAAAUCUAGGCAGCAAUGUGGUGGAGGAUUUAUGAGAAUUCCUAACAAUAAAACAAUUCUUUGCUCUGCUUCAGGAAAUCAUUGCAAUGAAGAUAUCAAUGUUAAUUCCCCAGAUAUGCAACAGAGAUUAAAAUAUCAAAACAUACUACUCCAGUAAAGGAGACAAAAAUAAGACAUGAAAGACAAUAUUAUGAGCUUGAGCAUAUAGAUAUUAUAUAUAAUAUUUGACAUCAUAAACGUCAUGUAAUUAGAAUUUGAUUGCUGUUGAAAAAGAGAAUUUGUUUUAUAGUUAAAAAAGUAAAAUUCUAUAUAAGGUAAAGUAAUAAGUCAAUAUAAAUUUAAUAUUUAAAAAGAUUCUGCACUAACAAAAAAAUUAAUUAUUUUCCUAAUAUGAAAAAUAAAUAUUUAAUUUUCUCCUAUAAAUUAGACUUUUUGCCUUAAGUUUUUUUCACCGUUGUUUAGUGAUUCUUUUUUUUUUUUUGAUCCACUUUCAAGUUUUUCAUUAGGAUUUUGGACUUUCUUUCCUUUUCUAGAUGUUUUUGUUUUUGUUUUUUUUUUUCUCCACACGUUUUUAUGCUUUUCUUUUUCUAAUUAACCUUUUCUAAUUCUUUUUCUAAUUAACCUUUCACGUUUUAUGCUUUUCUUUUAUAAUUAACCUUUACUUCCCUCUAUUUAAUAAGAAUAAGAAAUUGUCCUUAAAUAAAACAUAAGUGAAAUAAUGAUUUUAUUUACUGUGAAAACUUUUAAUGAAGGAUAAAAAGUUCAAAUCACUUUUCUAAGGGGCUUCACACUUUUAAUAUAUUAUAGAUAUAGAUUAUAGAUAUAGAUAUAGAUAUAGAUAUAGACAUAGAUAUAGAUAUAGAUUAUAGAUUAGUAAUACACUAGUGUACAUACCCGCGCGAUGCGCAGAUAACACUAAAAUAAUAUUUCUAAUAUUUCAUGUUGGGAUGUCUUGUUCGAGCAUGUUAAAUUCUAUUAUCUUAAAAAUGUUUCAACUAUGAUAUUGUUUCUCAAUGAAAUGUAAGAAUAAAUAUUUUUUUCUCUACCCUCAUCCACAACGGCGGAUCUACGUAGAGCUUGAGGGAUUCACUCGAACCCUCUCAUCGAAAAAUUACACUGCAUAUAUAAGGUGAUCUCUUUCUUUAGACAUAUAUAUAUAUAUAUAUAUAUAUAUAUAUAUUACUAUUAUAUAUAAGAGAGAAUAGAAUUUUUUGAUAGUCCUCACAUGACAUUUUUGUUCUUUUACCCUUAAUUGAAGUUUUUACUACUUUAUAAGUUAACACACAUUUUAGUAAAUUUUAAAAACUUUAAGGUCAUUUACACGCCACUAAAAAUGAAAAAGGUUGUAGUGGGCUCCACAAAACAUACUCAUACAUAUUUGAGUCUUUAUUUUAUGUGAAAAUGUUAUUAAACUUAUUUCAAAUUAUAUUUGAUCUUAACAAUUAAUUAUAAACACAUAAAUAAUUAUUCUAUUGUUCAAUUUCUAUCUUGAUAAAUGCUUGAUUAUUGAAUAAAAAUAUUUUUCAUAUAAUAUUAUUUGUUGAUGUUAUUUAUAAUGUUUAAUUUGCAAUUUAAAUUUUUUGUUAUCGAUUAAUAAGUAUAGUUUAUUUUAUUUUAAUUUUACCUGUGAUUUUAUAUUGUACAUGCCGACAAACAUAAGUAAUUAAUAAAGAUUUCACUUAUGCAAAAUUAUAUUUUACAUUAAAUAAUAAUUAAAUUUAUUAUUGUUAAAUGCUUUUAAAAUUUACUUAUAUUAUAUAUAUGAGAGAAUAGUAUUUUUUGGUAGUUUUCAAAUGAUUUUUUGAUCUCUUUUGCCCUUAAUUGAAGUUUUUAUUACUUUGUAAGUAACACACAUUUUAGUAAAUUUUAAAAACUUUAAGGUCUUUUACACGCCACUAAAAAUGAAAAAGGUGACAGUGAGCACCACAAAGCAUACUCAUACUUAUUUAAGUCUUUAUUUUAUGUGAAAAUGUUAUUAAACUUGUUUCAAAUUAUAUUUGAUAUUAAAAAUUAAUUAUAAACACAUAAAUAAUUAUUCUAUUGUUCAAUUUUUAUCUUGAUAUAUGCUUAAUUAUUGGACUAAAAUAUUUUUCUUAUAAUAUUAUUUGUUGAUGUUAUUUAUAAAGUUUAAUUUGCAAUUUAAAUUUUUAAUUAUCGAUUAAUAAGUAUAGUUUAUUUUAUUUUAGUUUUACCUGUAAUUUUAUAUUGUACAUGGCGACAAACAUAAGUAAUUAACAAAAAUUUCACUUAUUUAAAAUUAUAUUUUAAAUUAAAGAAUAGCCAUAAUUAAAUUUAUCAUUGUUAAAUACUUUUAAAAUGUGUCGAAAUGUUAGUUAUAAUCCUUUAAUUUCAGUCAAAAAUAAAUUUCAUAAUAUGAUAGUUAGUUAAUCUAAUUUUAUGUGCACACAUUUUUAAUCUAAUUUGAUAAAUGACCAUAUUAAAAAUAAAUAAUAAAAUAUUAUAUAUAGUGUUAGAUUCAGUUUGAUUAGUUAGAAUUUCUAAAUAGCUAAACUCAGAAUUUAUUGUGCAUUAUAUUAAGAGUAAUAUCUUGGUGAUGAUUAACUAAGAUUCACGUGCAACACACGUACCCUAAAUGAGUAUGUAUAUAUAUAUAUAUAUAUAUAUAUUCUGAAAAUGCUUGGAAAAAAAGGUUGUAUAAGAAAUUAUAAUUUGAUCUCCUAAUAAAUUAUGAUAAAAAAUCAAUUUGAAUAAUCGGAGAUUAGAAACUCAAAAGAUUUCAGUAAAAUAGAAAUUGAAACUUUCAUACAAGCAUUUUUAUGAUUUUUUUUGAAAGUCUAAUAUUUAAAUUAAGAAAAAUAUUAUCCUUUAACUUUUCAAUACCAUUUUGUACUAUACUAUUUUAAACUCCUUAAAAGCUAUCACACUGAAAAAGAAAAAAGAAGGAUGAGAAAAUUUUUACAAGAUCUAUAAAUUCAAAAUCAGAGUCCAAGAAAUUAAAAAAGUAUGAGAAGAUAUCCAUAACAUGAAAUGGAGUCUUCUAGAGUAUAAAAGCUCACCACUUCAAUCCUACCCAAAGUUAUCCCUGAAUCCAACAUCACUGAGUAGGAGUAGUAUGGCCGAUUCCUGCAUCAUGUGGGGAUGCAACGCUCAAGACGAGUUAGCAGGUGAACGCUAGCAUGUAUUCAGGAAUAAGGAUAAAAUAAUACCAAUAUUUAAAAUCAGGUAAAUAACAAAGUACAGUCACACACACACACACACACACACACACACACACACACACAUAUAUAUAUAUAUAUAUAUAUAUAUAUAUAUAUAUAUAUAUUCUAUGCCGAGAAAGGGAACUGGGUUUAGCUGACACUUAGAAUUUUAACCUGGGUUGUGUAGCUUGACCGUCCUAAAACUACCCACAGGCUAUAUGAGUCCAGUGUUAUCCCCUGAACGGGCUCUAGUGCGUGUAGCUGCAUGAACCAGAGAUAUCAUAGGGGCCGAGGAUUCCCGUGUACCCUUUGCCCUCCAUGAUACAUAUAUAAAAGUAGAAACAUAGGGAAUUCACGUGUACCCCACAAGUCUAUGGUCACCAUGAAAAUCAUCAUGGCGGCAAACAUGAGUUUCCAGUGUCCGUCCAUUGGACUGACACCUUUACAGUUAGCUAUCACAACCCGUCAUUAUUUCCCAAUUAAAACCUUUAGCACAUAACAAAACCACCAAUUGCAGAAUUUAUUUACCAAGGCAUUAUGAAGUGAUGCCGUCAUACCGACUAUAGCUUGCAAGCAAUGUCAUUAGACAACACUUAGGGAAUUCCCAUGUACCUCACAAGUAUUCUAAUUAAAACAAGCCAUGGACACCAACGCCUUUCCAAUCCAUUUAAAAUCAUUUAAACCAAUUUAGGUUCCAUUACAAUCUUAUGUAAUGCAAAAUUUUCAAUAAAAGUCAAACUAUGUGACAAAAACAUUCUCAUUGGCAUUUUAACAAACAUGUUGAGGGCAUAUAGUUUCCAAAACCAAAACCAAGAACUAAUUAAUUAUUCCCAUGCAACCACAUGUUCAAACCAAUAUUAUAACAUGAAAAACUAUAAAUAGAACACGGAAAAACAUCGUCCAACCAUUAGUAAUACACAAAAUUUCCUCAAAGUUGAUCAACAUUAAUUUACGACCUGUAAACUUAUAAUACCCCGCAUUUUUCUAACUUAAUUUAACUCUCAGUACAUGAGUAUUCAUAUAUAAUUUUUGAAAUACUCAGGAAAUCCAUUUAUCUAGUUUGUCAGAUUUUUUUACUUUUUUCUCUCAUUUUAAUACAGUAAAUAAAUAAUUAAAUCCAAUAAAUUAGUGUUUAAUGCAAUUAAAGGCCCUCUAACAGCAAAAUUGAAACAUGAGUCUCUUAAAAACGCCUAUAAACUACUGCUUAGGAUUAAUUCAGAAUCAAUCUACUGUAACUUUUGGACGAUCCACAGAGCUAUUAUUUCCAGAAUGGCCAUCCAUCUUCAUAUGCUUUCUUUUGCAACUUUGUAACACUAGGGAUCUCUUCUUGUAUAUAAUAGAGUAUAUCAAUUUUUCCUAGCUUUUUCGUAUUUAACUUACUAAAAUCCUUUUUGUGUAAAAUAUUUUUCCUUCAUCAACAAGGAGCUAUUCGUCAUCCAUUUUCCUCAACAACCCAUUUACUUAUCAUUUGGGUUCGGGUUCGACCCGACUUCACCAUUCCUUCAUCAAUGUAAAAUUCUCCGUCGCCACCGUCGGCGGAUGCAAUGGCGUCAGAAUCGGCGCCAACCUUAACAUGAAAGCGCAGGCAGUGGAUUUGAGCAAAGAGGUAAUAAUGGAGGAAUCUUAUAAGUGUUUUGUUGGGUACAUGAGCUAGGGCACCAUUGUUAUUGUCCAGUGGCAGAGCAUGUAAAUGGUAUGAUAUUGAAGGGCGAGAGUAUUUAAAUUUGACUUCUGGUAUUGCUGUUAAUGCGCUUGGACAUGGUGAUCCUGAUUGGAUUAAUGUUGUUACUCAACAAGCAAAUGUAUUAACUCAUGUUAGCAACAUUUACUAUUCUCUCACUCAGGUUAGCUACCAUUUUGCAUAAUUUAGGGAUUAAAAAAGUGAUCCUUUUUUUUCCUUAAAAGUUUUGUUGCAUUUUGUUUUGAUGGUUGUUGAGGUGUGGUUUCAUAAUGUAUUGUAUUGUAUUAUACUCUAUAUUUUGAUGGAUAGAGUUAUUCAAUACCUGUUGUCAUUGGGAAGUGACACGUAUUCCGUGGAAUUAAUUGAGGUGGGCGAAAGAGAAAAAGAAAAUUAAUUAAUUAUAGUGCAUGUGGAUUUAAAAAGAUGACCGGUUUUUCUUUUUGAAGUUACUUCACAUUUUGUUUGGAUGGUUGUUACAUAUCUUUUCAUAAUGUAUUGUAUUGUGUUGUAUUAUUUUGAUGGAUACAUUGAAUAGGUUGUAUCAUUUAGUAUCGAUACAUAAUGUCACACAUGAGUACUUUGAAGGAAAAACCUAUAAGAAAUAUGACACGGGGUAAAGCUAAUAUGAAGUAAGUUAAAAGAUAAAAUAGAAUUAUUAUAUAGUAAGCGAAACAAAAUGAGAAGAAAAACCUGGCAAAUAAAAAGGUGAUGUUUUUUUUGAAAUUUCUUUAUACUUUGUUUGGAUGGUUGUUAUAUGUUGUUUCAUAAUGACCUUUUAUUAUUAGCUAAUUUUUACAUAUACUCUCUAUGUUAUUAUUUUUAUUUUGUAUUUUAUAUAAAUUUCUAAUUAGUGUAAAUUCAUAGUUUCUUUAGGUUCAAAAUAGUAUUUAUGACUUUAUUCAAAAUAUGUCAACCGUAGUCUUUUGAAAGAAAAGUUCAUUGUAUCUUAAAGCUUUAACUUCUUAUGUAACCUGAAAAAUAAAUUAAUGACAAUAUUAAAGAUGAUAGUUAACCUCUUGAAUAUGAAGAGGAAAGAAACGGUAAAUUGUAAUAAAUUCAUCAAGCAAACACUAAACAUAUAAAUAUAUUAUGGUACAAAAGAAUUGUGAAAAAUUAUGAGAUAAAUAUUAGAUUGUUGCGAACUUCUACUACUAUCUAUUGUCUCUUGUAUUUCAAUUAUUUUACUGAAUUUGUAAUAUGAGGUAAAAUCAAUUUCGUCUUUUAUCACAUGUUGUUUCCUUUAAUUUGUUAUUUAGGUGAUUUAAUUUAGUAGCUUUUUCAGACUCGAUAAAAUGCUCAAUCGUCCCUAAAUUUUUUGUUUGGUUUUUCUUUAGAAGUGAGUGCGUUUUUUUUACUAAUCAAUUUAGUUGCAAUUUUUUUUUUAAUAAUAAAGAUUGCAAUGAUGACAUUGUAUUAUUAAUUUAUUUUUACAUACUUUCAAUGUUUUUAUUUUUAUUUUGUAUUUUAUAUGAAUUUUUAAUUGGUGUAAAUUCAUAAUUUCUUUUGGUUAAAAAUAGUAUCUCUGACUUUAUUCAAAAUAUGUCAAUCAUAGUCUUUUGAAAGAAAAAGCUCAUUGUAUCUUAAAGACAUCUUAUGUAACUGAAAAAAUAAAUUAAUGACAAUAUUAAAGAUGUUAAUUAACCUCUUGAAUAUGAAGAGGAAAGAAAUGACAAAUAUUAAUUGUAAUAAAUUCAUCAAUCAAACACUAAACAUAUAAAUACAUUAUGGUAAAAAAGAAUUGUGAAAAAUUCUGAGAUAAAUAUCUGAUUGUUAUGAACUUCUGCUACUAUCUAUUGUCUCUUGUAUUUCUAUUUCGAUUAUUUUAUUGAAUUUGUAAUAUGAGAUAAAAUCAUUUUCUUCUUUUAUCACAUGUUGUUUAAUUCCUUUAAUUUGUUAUUCAGGUGAUUUAAUUUAGUAGCUUUUUCAAACUCGGUAAAAUGAUCAAUCGUCUAGAGGAAUUGAAUGGUAAUCGACUUGUGAAGUGAAUGUCGACGAGUGUUUAAAGAUUGUACAUUUUCUUCAUAUAUAUUUUUAUUUUUUAAUGAUAAAGAUUGCAACAAUGACGUUGUAUUAUUAAUUAAUUUUUAUAUAUUCUCUCUAUGUUUUUAUUUUUAUUUUGUAUAUUAUAUGAAUUUCUAAUUUGUGUAAAUACAUAAUUUCUUUUGGUUCAAAACAGUAUCUCUGACUUCAUUCAAAAUAUGUCAAGCAUAGUUUUUUGAAGAAAAAAAAGUUCAUUGUAUCUUAAAGACAUCUUAUGUAACUGAAAAAAAAAAUUAAUGACAAUAUUAAAGAUUAUAAUAAAUCUUUUGAAUAUGAAGAGGAAAGAAAUAACAAAUAUUAAUGGUAGUAAAUUCAGCAAUCAAAUACUAAACAUAUAAAUACAUUAUGGUAAAGAAGAAUUGUAAAUAUUAUGAGAUAAAAGCUCAAUCUUAAAGACAUUUUAUGUAAUUGAAAAAAAAUCUAUCUAUAUCUAAUAACAGAGGCAAAACUACCAUGUGGCAGCACCUCAUAAAAGCAGCAAUAUUUAAAAAAAAUAAAUUAAAAAUCUAUUUCUUAAACACACUUAACUUCCUCAUCCCUAUUUCAAUGGAAAUACAGUUAUUAAAAGAAGAAUAACACUGUCCACUUACAAAUAUUUUUUGCUAAUUUGCUAAUAAACUUUUACUUAUUGUUUUACUUAAAUAACAAAAGAUACAAAAAAGCAAUUUUCAUUACAACAUUAAAAAAACUACAAUUCAAAUUUAAAGAACAAUAAAUACAAAAUAAACAAAUAAUUACAAUACAAAUUUAAAUAACAAUAACUACAAAAUAAACAAAUAAUUACAAUACAAAUUUAAACAACAAUAACUGCCAAAAAAAAAAAAACAUUAACUAAAGAUGAAAAAAAAAACUUAAUUACAUUCUUAAAAAAUACUUAAACAUCAAUAACUGCAAAAAAAAAAAUUAUAAUAAUUAGGACAAAAUUUUAAACAACAACAAAUGCUAAAAAGAAAAUGAGAUAUACACACGCCAUCUAACAAGUUUGUUUAUUUUAAUUAUUAAAAUUUAAACCAGUAACUGCCAAAAAAAACAACAUUAACUAAAGAUGAAAAAAAAACUUUUUAAUUAAAUUCUUAAAAAGUAUUUAAACAUCAAUAACUGCCAAUUUUUUUUUAUAAUAAUAAGGACAAAAUUUUAAACAACAACAAAUGCUAAAAAGAAAAUGAGAUAUUCACACGCUACCUAACAAGUUUGUUUAUUUUAAUUAUUCAAAUUUAAACCAAUAAAUAAGAAAUUUAAACAGAAACGUGAUAUCCUUUUAAUUAGGGAUAGUUAGAAGGAGUUGGUUUUAAAACCACCCACUAAACUCCUUUUUUUAUAAUUGUCUUUCAUUACAACUCAUUUUCUUAUUCGUAUAUAAUCCUUACUAGGUUCUACAUUUUCUGCAGUUUAUACAUGUCCUUAUAUUUCUGACAUUCUGCAAUUUACGUAGUACUGCCAUAAUCAUAUAUGGCUUUUCAUAGCAUCUCACAAAUUACAAGCAGUUCUAUGCAAUUAAAUUUGAGAGUAAGAACUAUUCGCCUUUGUCAAUUGCAGGAUAAAUUCAAACCUGAUGUACCAUAUUCAUUAGAUAUGGUUUUACAGGAUUCUAAGGUACUAAUUGCUUUUUACUACUUUUUCAUAUUUCACGGUGUUUACAUUAAUAAUUUCCUUUUUUAUUUUAAAGUUGUAUAUACACUGAACAAUACUAAUUCUCUGUCUCAAAUUAGGGCGAUCGCAUGCAUGCUUCAAUUGGCAAGUAUGAUAUUAAGUUUUUCAAGAACAAGAUGGAGGAACUUGAGUUAUAUCGCAUUAACAACUUUGUUGUUACAUCAAAUUUCAAGAAAUUUAAGAUUACAACGCACAAGCACAGGUUGAUUUUCAUAAAAAUGACUUCUGUCGAGAAAAUUACUGAUCCUUCAUUUCCUAUGGACAUACUUAAUUUGUGUCCAUUUGACCAACUCACAAUUCACCAUAUAGUCGAUGACACGAAACUUUUCGGUAAUGUUUCUCUUCAUUGUCAGUUUAAAAUUUAUCAAUAAUCUGUACUUUUUAUUUUUACUAAUCCAUUUAUAUUUAUAGAUGUUGUUGGUCAGAAUGUCACAUAUGAAGCUGUUCAAACAUUCAAGCAAGGAGACAGUAAUAGUGUAUUUAUAAAUAUUGUGCUAGAAGAUGAUAAGUAUGCCUUAUUUUCUUCUUUACAUUACAAUUGGCACUGCUAUAUUCACUAAUCAUUGAUAACAGAUGAAUAAGAAUUAGAGAACAAACAAUCAAUUUAAUAAAUACACAUUUUAUAUGGUAAAGCUGCAACAUUAAAUACACAUAUAUGGUAGAUUGAAAAUAGUAAUGUAAAUCAUUUAAUGAAAUCUUUAUUCUUACGGGAGAAAUAGACUUUCAACAACUUUAUGGGGCGAACUUGUGGAUCAAAUUCAACCUUAUUUGAGUGCAUCCACAGAUGAACCUUUGAUUAUGGUUCUUCAAUUUAUGAAGGCUCAAAAAUUUAGAGGUAUGAAUAUUUCAAACUAUAAUACAUAACAGAUUUAUUCAAAAAUUAUUUUUAUUUUCAAAUUCUAAAUAUUAUUUCAAACAGAUGUCUACUCCGUUUGUAGUUGUUGGUACCAAACUAAGCUAUGGAUAAAUCCAUCUCUGCCGCAAUCUAUUGCUUUUAAAUCCAGGUUUGUCACAUCCAACUAUUGUUUUAACACAUUUAUCAAUUAAAUUUAAUAUUAAAAUUUAGAAUAUAGAUUAAUUUAUAAUUUUAUACUAUUUUUCAUUCAGAUUAAAUGCAACAUGUGCUUCUAACUAUGAGCGGCUUAGCCAGACAAGUUCCCAACAGUGUUAUUCUAUCAUGGAUGAGUUAACCAAAGGAAUUGUACCUUUUAAAUAUAUCAAUGAUUUGAUUGUAUGCUUAGAAGUGAGUUGAAUAAUUUUUUUCAUUCCUAAUUAACUUAGCACAAUGUGUUUAAAUAUUAUAACAAUAUUUUCUCUAUCAAACAGGAAGCUAGCUAUUGGAUUGCUGCAAAAAUUGUUUGUUUUGAUCUUGAUCAUGGAUGGUCAUACAUGACUUGCAACAAGUGUAUUAUAAAGGUUGAACAAGAUGAAAACUCAUUUUUUGUCCAAAAUGCAAUUCAGAGGCAAAAGUUGUUCACAGUAAUUACAAUCCUACAUGAAUUUUUAUCAAGAAAAAACUUAAUAUUGUUAACAUGAUAAAGAAUGAAUUUCAGGUAUAGGCUACAAGUUCGUGUAAUGGAUGAAACUGGUCUUAUAACCCUAUUACUUUGGAAUCGUGAGGCUGUUCAACUUAUGGGGAAAACUGCAAAAGAGCUAAAGGAAGACUUAAUUGAUGAUGAUGAAUGUUCGUAUCCAAGUGAACUGGAUGAUAUCGUUGAAAAAAAAACUCAAGUUUAAAGUCAUGGUGAAGGAAUCUAAUAUAUACAAGCAGGAUGAGGUCUACAAAGUUCUAAAAUUUGCUGAUGAUGAAUCUCUUUUCAAGGAAUAUUGUCAUCCUUCACUAAAAUAAAUAUAUACAAGCAGGAUGAGGUCUACAAAGUUCUAAAAUUUGCUAAUGAUGAAUCUCUUUUCAAGGAAUAUUGUCAUCCUUCACUAAAAUACACUGUAAUAUAAAGAAAUAUAAAUCUCAAGUUCUAUAAAAAUUAUAAAUUUUAUUUUAAUGACAUUACUGUAUUUCAUUAGGAUUUUCUGUUGAAGGGGCACAAAACAAGGGAGGUGAUGAGCUUUUUGAGGUAAUUAUAUGUUGCAUUUGUAGGUGUUUAAAUCUAAACUCAUCAAAAAGUAUAAUAAUUUUACUAUAAAGUAAUAACAUACCUUUUGUAAUGGAUAAUCAUCUUUUUUUUUUCAUCACAAACAUGCAUUUUUGUAUCCUGUGUAUAUAUUUUCUUUGGCAUAUCAACCUUUUGACACAAAUAAAAGAGAGUUAUAAUUAUUAAAAACUUCAUUCUAUCAUUUACAUAAUUAUUAUACAGAUAUUUAUCAAAAUAAAAAAGCUGAAUAAAUUUUAGUAUCAAUACAAGUUUUAUUCUUAUCUAACACAAUUUUAAUCUAUGCAAUCUAUUCCAGACUCCCAUCAAGAACAAUCUAUCAGGUUGUGGAUCAUCUGUAACAGAAAUUAGUGUUGAUUUGAUAGAAAAGCAGUAUACCAAAAGAAGCAAAGGUGUUGGAAAAUUGUCAAUGCAGGAAUAUGAUGAUGAAUGUAAUGACAAACAAUCCACCAACAAGAUCCGCAAAGUGAUUAAGAAGGAAAAAAAACAUGAGUAGUUGAGUCCAUGUUCAACUGUAACUUUUAUGUUAAUUUUAGUUUCAGUUUAUUUUGUAAUGAACAAGUACUAUAUUAGAUAUAAUGAAGAAUAUGUGUGGUUGUUUCACUUCAUAAAUUACAGAUUGAAAAACAUCUUUAAAUAUCAUGCAGAAAAAACUGAGCAUGAUUGAAAAAUAAUAUGAAAAAAAUUAAAAAAUGAGAGUAGUAGUAUCCUUACAUAGAAACAGAUCAUUAUUCCGUCUUCAAUUAACUUGCUAGGCGUGAAAAAUGAUAGUAAUAGUAUCCGUACAUAGAAACAAGAUCAUUAAUCAGUCAUCAAUUAACUUGACAGCCGCAACCUUCUUGGUUGGUUCCAGGACAUACAUUAACUCAGCACUGCAGCCCGUGCAUAAAUGAUUCUGCACACGGACAACAAAUAACUCAUACUUAUCUUAGGAACAAUAACAUAGACCAAAUAUGAUAAUUCAUUAAAUUGACAGUUGAAAAUGGACCUGUAUGCUUUUCAAGGAAAAUAUCAUAAGACCACAAGUUUGACACAAUAAAGAGACAUGAGAGUGGCCUAUGGAUUCAAUGGUUGCAGAUACCCCUGUGGUAGAGUUUAAUGACUACAUCUUGGAAAAUUGGCCCAUUUAUACAAAUUAUCACCCUAACCACAUGUAACUUUUUCAUCUUCAUCCUGUUAUAAUCUAAGAGAAUAAAAUUCUCAAUUUUUGAAAUCUAAGAAGUUAUUCUGGAGGUCACCUGAUGCUAAGACAUAUCAUUGAAUAUUAACCGAAUGAUUUCUCACAUAAAGUAAGUGCAUGUGAGCCAAUCCAGAUGCAGAUAUAAUAAGAUUUUUGUCAAAAAAUUAGGUGAACUUUCAUAGCAUUCUGGACAAUCUUAAUAUUUGCCUUAACUUUACAACUAGAAGACAGUAUCUAGCUUUAUCAUAAAAGAUUAGUUAAAAGUAUAGUUUCCAAGAGUCACAAGAGGAGACCUGUGCACUUCAAUACCAGUUUUAGAGGUUAAAAGGAUAAAAGAAUACCAGUUUUAGAGGUUAAAAGGAUAAAACAAUUAAAUAGAUUUUCACUAGAUGAUAAAACAAAUGAACAUGCCAUGCAAUGGACCCGAAGUAAGAUGUAGCUAUUACAAAGGGCAGUAUGGUGCACUUAUCUCCCGCUAUGCGGAUUUGGGGACAGAUAGGACCGAAUUGGGUCUUAUUGUACACAGUCUAACCUUGCAAGUUUUAGUAAUUCAGGACCACGAAAUAUAAUGUGCUAAUACCUAUACUAAGCCAUAAUGUUGAGAACAACUUCGCGAAGUUCCUAACAAUCUAAAAGCCACCCUUUUUUUGGGAGGUAAUAUCAUCUACACCACCCUGAACAAACUCUACGGACCUUAGCAGGUCCCUAAUUAGACAUUAAAGGUCUUUCCUGAUAUAAUGACAGUUAGCACAACCUUCUUUUUGCCUUAGGAGUAAAAUAUGGCAUUAAGAAUCAAGACACAGAAAAUUAAACAGAAAACCUGGCCACUCACCAGUUGUCUUCUGCCUAUUUGCAGCUAUUAGUAUCCAAUAGUUCACCUAAUUGUUCUUACGCUAGUUAGUUGUUCCACACAUCAAUUAGUUCAACGAUUCAUCAAAGCACAAGGUAUUUGACCCUAGACCAAUGUCUUCUAUUAUGAGGCAAAUAACUUACCAACAGUUCCAAAAGUGUCAACGGAUCCUGAAUUCAGCACAUGUUUCUGCACGGCUAGAGUCAACUCUGAAGCUGGCAGUCCAGCAUCAUUUCUGUUUUAUAUUAGUUGCGGGGAACAAUGAGCCAUAUAUUGGAAUAUAUAAUUAGCAGCAAACUACUGAAGAAGAGAACACGCAAGACCAGUAUUCUCCGUUGCAAUCAAUAUAGAAUCAGAUAAAUGCCUCUCAAGUCUCAACAUCUUGAAAAUAAUGUAGAUGAUAGUUGAAAAAGAAUAGAAUACAAAAUGCUUUACGGCCUGAGAGUCGCAAUGCAAGUCAGGGAGCUUACUACAAAAGAAGAUGGUUUUCAAGAAGCAUAUUACAUGAAUCAACUAUACAAUUUGCUUAAUUUUUCAAGAUUAGAAUAAUGAGAAGCAUGUGGAUGAAGAAGGUGGCAAGCACACGAACUUUGAAAGUUGAUACAUUAAUAGUCAGAGUGGAUUCUUCAGUAGUGAAAAUUCCUGCAGUAUAAAGUUUUAAACUUUCUAAACAAAUUCUGAGCAAAAGCAACAGCAUAGACCACGAUCCUGAUGGUAAUUAUAUAUUUAUCACAACAUAGACAGGAAAACCAUCUUAAUACUUCUUAAAUAUGAAAAAUAUCUUUCGUGAAAGAGAAGUUGAAAGACGGCAUAGAGAUCUGCAGCUUUUACAGAAAAUUUCAAAUAAAAAGGGAAGAUACUCUUGAAUCUGUGGAAUCAUGGAACAACUCUGGCUCAUAAAAAAUAGUUACCUUUUGGCAUCAGUGCAGCUCCUGCAUGACCACCAUUGCCUUCAAAUGUUACUUUGAUGCUUGCUGGAGCGGCAAUUGCAGUCACAACACCAAUCGAAUGCUUUGAUGCUUGCUGGAGCGGCAAUUGCAGUCACAACACCAAUCGAAACACCUUCAUUGGCAGAUACACCAACUUAUUUAUUGAUAUGACUACAAUUAAACCUGUACUUGCAUCGGAUGAUGAAGAAUAGGAUAAGCAUUUAACAACAGCUGACCUUUUUCUAGAAUAGGACCUUGCUCUAUGUGCAACUUGACGAAAGCAGAAUAAGUUCCUUUUUUGAGAAAGACUUCAGACAAAUCCCCCUUAGCAUUUGCGUAACCAACAGACUUAUCAGCAUCAGAGAAGGAAACAUUAUGGCUGUCUUUUGUACUUAUCAGUUGUUCUGCAAAUUGUACAAUUCCUGCCAGCAAACGGCUGGAAAUAUAAUGACCAUUAGAACCUCAACUGGACAUGGGACAUGUUUAGUUACUGCUAAAUUGCAACAUAAGCAGUCAAAAACCAAAUGCAUUUGCUUAUGAUUUUAGGUGUUAAAGUAAGUGAUCAAGCUUCUAACCUUCCCAGACAGCUAAUCCCAAACCUCGUGGGCUCUUCUGAGGUAAACAUAAUCACUUCCAGUGUCCUCUGAGGCUUGAAACCCGACCUAUGGUAAUUUUGAUUUUUAAUCAGCAAGUAAAAGCCAGAGUUCUGUAGUCAAAUAAAGUAGUAGCCAAACACAAAGUGUAUUUAUAAUUAUUGAGCUCUCUGAGUUCCAUGACUUGGACAGUACCUCUUUUAAAUUGCAAAUGAGUUUUUACAGUAUAAAAUGCCAGAAUUUCUUACCAAUUCCUUUAUGCAUAGCUAGCGUAAACUUGAAUAAAUGCAUUCUGUGUUAGAGAGAUAUUCAAUAUUAUUGAAAUAUCCAAUAUUAUCGAAAUAUAAAACAUCUUAACAUAAGAGUAGUGAAGUUUUCUACUUCAUCAAAAAACAAAAUAUGAUAUUAAUUAUAUAUGUGAAUUCAAUUUGGAGUGCUUUGCAAACUUUACCUGCCUCUGCAACAUAGUUGAUGGAGGUCAUUAUGAACUCCAAUACACCAAAAUAGGGUUGUCCAGAUGGUUAAAAUACAGGCAGCUCCAAAGCUCCUCGAACAUUGUUAAGUAGUGCAUGAUCAAGCCAAGGAAGCUCUUUACUGGAGUAUUAUUGCACGUUUGUUGUCUAUACAGGCAACUAAGACGGAAGACACAAACUGGAAGUUUAAGAACUCACCAGUCUCUCCUUCAUCAGCAGAAAUAUACAUUAGAAAAAACAUUUGUUAUCGAUGAAGCCCAUUACAAUCUGGGUCAAUUACAAAAGGCUGUCCAGAAGUUGUAAGCACAGACCAGCCAACUUCCAUCUUAAUUGACUUUGCAGCAUUUGGAAUGUUAGAUUUGGGACCAAUCCAUCACUGUUCAAUGAAAGUCCAUUGAAAAAUCGACACAUUGCAUGUUCCAGAACUCCACAAUACUCAACUGCUGACAAAUUAAAUAUCAGUUAAAAAAUAAAAUAAAUAAUCUGCAAAAAAAAACUGCCUAUAGUCAACUGCUUUUGUUUUCUUAAUACUAAAUAUAUUUUUCAGACAAAUUACAGUUUCAUUCACUUUUGUCAUGGAAGAUCAAAAGAAACUUGCAAGAAGAAAUAGAAUAUGCUUACGAAAAAUCAUAAACGAGGAAAAUUUUUGUCAGAUAACAAUGGCAUGAAUCUUUAUUCUUUGUUCUUUUCCAUAUAUUUUACAUUUCCCCUUUAGUAGCUUUGUGAUAUCACUCUUUUGUAACACUGUUUAAUAUAAUUUCAAGUUUGAAAAUAUAUAUUCUUUACAAAGAAUGGCUAACAUUAAUAUGUGUAUGACAGAUUUUGAGAGCAGUUCAUCUACAACUACAAAUCAACCUAAGGAUAAAGGACUAUUGGUAGAUGAGAAUAGUUAUUCAAACCAUUUAAAUAUGCAAUAUAAUAAUAUGUCAGGUAUGUCAUUUUAAAAAUUGUAAUUCAUACUCUUACAACAACUUCAUUAAUUUUAAACUUUAUGCAUCAAGGUCAUGUGCUCUCAAACCAACAAACCCCUGAUGAAAAUGUAGAUGAAGGUAUAUUUGAAGGUACGUAGAUAGAAACCCAAAUACAAUUGAUAUUGUUAAACUGUAUUAAGAUAUCCAACUUUAUUUCUUUUUAAAUAUAUUAUUUUAAUAUUAUUAUUUGUAGAUGAUGAAAUAGAAAGUUAGACAACUAACAAUCAAGGUAUGUUGUUUGUUAUAUUUAUUAAUAUUUCAUAAUUACUGUAUUAUUUACAAUAAGUACAUUGACUGCAUAUUUAUUUUACUUUGACAAUAUUAGAUUAUUGGGAUAUAGGAGAUCCUACAUGUGAAUGUGAAUGCUGUGGGGCAUACUUCUGCUACGAUGAAAGAAUUGAGAAGAAAUAUAAAAAUAAAAAACCAGUAUUUACUUUAUGUUGCAGUAGCGAAAAAAUCAAGCUGGCAAAUCCUAAAAAGCCUCCUUUUAUUUGAAUGGAGUUAUUGCUCGGAUCAGGUAAAUGUAUUCAUUUAUAAAUCAAAUGACAAAAUCUCUGUAUGAAUAUAGAAAAGUUCAAAAAAACUUUGAUUUCAUGUAGGAAAAAAAUGUAAUCAUUUCAGAGAGAAUAUUAGAACAUAUAAUUCUAUGUUUUCUUUUACAUCAAUGGGUGGAAAAGUUGAUGCAUCUGUCAACCAAUCAAAGGGACCAAGAACAUUUCGAUUGUCUAGGCAAAAUUAUCAUAAAAUUGGAAGUUUACUGCCUACAGAGGGAUCAUCUCCAAGAUCCGCACAAUUGUAUAUUUAUGAUACAGAAAAUGAGGUGGACAAUAGAAUUCAGGCUAUCAGGUGAGUACUUAUAUUAUUGGUCAUUAAAAUUAUUUUUAUUUUAAUUAAACUUCUCAAAUACGAUCACAAAUUAACUUUAUUUUAAUAUUUUAUUCUUACAGUCGUGGCGAAAGUAACAUUCAAAUAAAUGCUGAAAUUGUGAAUGAACUGAAGCAAAUGCUAGAUGAACACAAUGUAUUAGCAAAGUGUUUUACAAUGAUAAGAGAUAGAUUUUAAGUAGUUGAAAAUUCAAAUCUGCGACUCAGAUUGAUAGGGAAAAGAGGCUUCGAUGGAAGAAGAUACAACUUACCAUCAGUUUCAGAGGUUGCAGCUUUGGUCGUUGGUGAUUUUGAACCAAAAAUGUCAGACAGAGAUAUUAUUAUUGAAAGUCAAUCUGGACAGCUUAAGAGGAUAAAUGAAUUGAAUGCCUCAUAUUUAGGAUUGCAAUAUCCUCUACUCUUUCUAUAUGGUGAAGAUGGAUAUAGAGAAGAUAUUCCUUUAAAUCUUAAGGAUGAAUCAAGUGGUGGAAGAAAAUGUGUUAGCUGCCGUGAAUACUUCUCAUACAAAAUUCAAGAAAGGAAGCAUGAUGAUUCAACUAUUGUGUUAUCUAAAAGAUUAUUUCGGCAAUUCUUAGUUGAUGGUUAUACAAUGAUGAAAUCUUUUAGAUUGAAAUUUAUUAGGCUUCAUCAAAAAAAGUUGAGAUGACACUUUUAUAAAGGGUUAGAAAAAGCUGUUUUAAGAAGAGACACAGAACCGUCUUCUCAAGGACAGAGAGUUAUACUUUCUUCAUCAUUCACUGGAGGGGCACGUUACAUGUUGCGAAAUUAUCAGGAUGCCAUAAAAAUUUGCAAAUGGGCUGGAUACCCUGAUAUUUUCAUCACAUUUACUUGGAAUUCAAAAUGGCCAGAGGUUACUAGAUUUGGGAAGUGUAGGGGAUUGUCUCCGGAAGAUCGUCCAGACAUUUUAACAAGGAUUUUAAAAAUCAAAUUGGAUCAAUUGUUAAGAGAUCUGCGAGACAAUAAUGUUUUUGGUGAAGUAAAAACAGGUAUAACUUCAUGCUAUAUGACAAUAUUACAUUAAUUUUUAAAUUAUUUGUAAGCUACUAUUAUAAUUAUCAACCAAAAAACAAACAGUACUAAUAUAUCUUUUUAUACAGUGAUUUAUACCACUGAAUUUCAAAAGAGUGGUUUGCCUCAUGCACAUUUCCUACUUUUUCUUCAUAAUAAAUGUCCAAAUACUGCCAAUAUUGAUGACAUUAUUUCAGCUGAAUUGCCUGACAAUUUAGUUGAUCCUCAAUAUUAUGCGACUGUUACAAAUUUAAUGAUUCAUGGACCAUGUGGUACUGCAAGAAAAUCUUCUCCUUGCAUGCAAAAUGGUAAAUGUACAAAGCACUUUCCAAAAAAAAUUUGUGAAUUCAACUACAGUUGAUGAUGAAGGGUAUCCUAUAUACAGAAGAAGGGAUGAUGGAAGAUCUACAAAGAGAGCAGGUAUUGAUUUAGAUAAUAGGUAUGUUGUGCCACACAAUAGACUCUUAUUAUUGAAAUAUGGUGCACAUAUUAAUGUGGAAUGGUGCAACCAAUCAAGGUCCAUUAAAUACUUAUUUAAGUAUGUUAAUAAAGGCCAUGAUCGUGUAACUGCUACUUUUUCUCAAAGUGAAAAUACUGAUGACUCAAGAGUUGUUGAUGAAAUAAAUAUGCAUUGUGAUUGUCGGUAUAUAUCGCCAUGUGAAGCAGCUUGGAGAAUUUUUAAAUUCUCAAUCCAUCAUAGAGAACCAUCUGUAGAAAGGUUACCCUUUCAUCUGGAUGGCAAUCAAAAUGUCAUAUUUUCAAAUGAUGAUUCGAUUGAUGUAGUAGUUAACAGAUCAACCGUAAAAGAAUCAAUGUUUUUAAAAUGGUUUGAAGCAAAUAAGGAAUUUCCUGAAGCAAGAGAGCUAACAUAUGCAGAAUUUCUUCUAAAGUUUGUGUGGAAUCAACAAUUGAAGAAAUGAAAAAAAAGACAAACUUCUGCAUUUUCUAUUGGCAGAAUUUUCUUUGUUCCUCGGGGAUCUGGAGAGCAAUAUUAUCUUAGAUUGUUGUUGAAUGUUAUCAAAGGUCCAACAUCCUAUGAGGAUCUUACAAAAAUAAAUGGUCAUGAUCAUAAGAAUUUCAGGGAUGCGUGUUAUGCUCUAGGUUUAUUAGACGAUGACAAAGAGUACGUGGAUGCUAUAGUGGAAGCAAGUAAUUGGGGAAUGCCAUCAUAUCUAAGGCAAUUAUUUGCUAUGCUACUUUUAUCAAAUUCAAUGUCACGUCCAGAGAUUGUUUGACAAUCAACAUGGCAUUUACUAUGAAAGGAUAUCCUUCAUGAACAAAGAAGAGUUUUAGAAAACCCAGGUACUUAAAUAAAACUUUUAGUUUUUAUUAAAUAUAUAUAAUAUAUUUUAUUUCAUUCACAAAAAUUUGAAAGCAAAUGAUAUAAAUACACUUCUUCAUUAUCUAAUAAAAAUUUUCAUGUUCAUAUAUAUCAUUAACCAUUUCCAAAAUAUACUUUUCAAAUUUAAUGUAAUUACUUAUUUAUGUUGUUGUGCAUUUUCAGAAGUUAACCUAACAGAUAAUGAUCUAGAAAAUCUUUGCUUGCAAAAGAUUGACCACUUUAUAAAAGGUUGCAGAAGAAGUUUUCUUAAUUUUCCAACAAUGCCAAUGCCUGUUUAUAACGAGGAAGAGGUUGACCAGAAUAAUAGAUUAAUCUUUGAUGAAAUGCGUUAUAACAGAUGAGCUUUAGCAGUGGAACAUCAACAAUUGGUCGGGAAUUUGACAGAUGAGCAGAACACUAUGUAUGAAAAGAUAAUAACAGUUGUGAAUGAAAACAAGGGUGAAUUUUUCUUUUUAUAUGGUUUUGGAGGAACAGGUAAAACUUUUAUUUGGAAUACUUUGUCUACUGCCAUAAGAUCUAAAGGAGAGAUUGUGUUAACAGUUGCUUCUAGCGGAAUUGCAUCUCUUUUGCUACCAGGUGGUAGAACAGCUCACUCAAGAUUUGUAAUUCCACUAAAUGUAACCGAAGAUUCGACAUGUAAUAUCAAGCAAGGUACUCCUUAGCAAAUUUAAUUAUCAAGAUAAAGUUGAUUAUCUGGGAUGAAGCACCAAUAAUGCAUAGAUACUGUUUUGAAGCUCUUGAUAAAAGUCUAAGAGAUAUUCUUAGCUUUAAAGAUUCAUCUAAUUCACAAAGACCUUUUGGAGGUAAAACAGUUGUUUUUGGUGGUGACUUCAGACAAAUAUUACAUGUUAAUGCAACUCUCAAUUCUUCAUAUUUAUGGUCUCAUUGUCAACUGUUGCAACUAACAAAGAAUAUGAGAUUACAAGGUACUGAAAUAGAUACAGAUCUGGAUGAGUUGAGAGAUUUUGCUAAUUGGAUUUUGGAUAUUGGUGAUGGUAGGAUUGGAAGUUCAGUUGAUGGCAUUGAAAAAGUUUCUAUACCAAAGGAUCUUCUGAUAAAUGAGUCCAUCGAUCCAAUAUCUGUUAUUGUCGAAAGUACGUAUCCAGAUUUUAUUAGUUGCUAUAAUGAUAUAGGAUACCUACAAAAAAGAGUCAUUCUUGCUCCAACUCUUGAUAUGGUGGAAUCAAUCAAUCAAUAUAUGAUUUCUCUCAAUCAAAAUCCUGAGAAAUCAUAUUUGAGUUCUGAUAAAAUUUGUGACUCUGACCAAACCUAUUCAGCAUUGGAACAUGUACAUACACCAGAAUUUUUAAAUAUUAUUAAAUGUUCUUCUGUACCAAAUCAUGCUAUCACUUUAAAGGUUGGAGUUCCGGUGAUGUUAUUAAGAAAUAUUGAAUUGUGUAAUGGAACAAGGUUAAUUGUAACUAGACUUGGAAAUCAGGUAAUUGAAGCUAAAGUUUUAUCCGGACGGAUGGUUGGACAGAAAGUGUUUAGUAAAUGAAUCAUAAUUAACACAAUUAAAUGGGAGGCCCGCAUCAUACAACCAUACCGCGAAAGCAUUUACCGCUCGCUCCCUUAAUAUUUUUUUUGUGUCAUUAAUUCCUCGUCCUCCUCCUACUCCCGCCUUUUCAAAGCCGGUGUUAUGUUGUGGCUUUUGUGGAUAAAACUUAUCUAUAGGACCUUUCGUCACAUGUGCCGAGGAUGAUACACUACCACCGCUUGAAGACAUUUUUUGAUAUUUGGAGGGAGGCAUCAUUUCCUCAAGUUCAUUCAUAUCAUCAUCAUCAGUGAUAUUAUAUGAUGGCAUAUAUCGUUGAUUCUUUGGAUUUGUUGUGACUUUGCUAUCAACAAAUGUCUUUACUUCAUCCCUAAUGUUUGCCAGACAAGAUUGACAUAUCCUCUCAUUUUUGUUUCCACCUAACAAGUGUUGUUUGAAUCGUGUAUACCGCCAUUUAUGGUACGUCGACAAAAAUUACAAAUCACCGCAUCUGUUGUCGGUCCUUGUGUACCAUAAUUCCAUCCUAUAUCUUUUUGUUUGCUACUAGUAGAUUGAGAGUGAGACGCCAUUGAAGUUGAAAACUGUUAAUGAUCAAAUAAUUUAAUUAGUAUAGUACCAUCAUGCUAUUUUAAUUCUACAUAAGUUAUUAUUUAUUAAAAAAAAUACAUAAAACAGUGCACUGGUUGACUGGUUAUUACUGUAACAGUAAGUUCACUGAUACAGUCACAGAUACAGUGACAGCCGGCCGGAAAUAGAAGAAGAAGAUGAUAAAAAAAGGAAAAAAAAAAAAAACAGCACCAAAAUACCAAGUCCAAUCCAGCGAUUAAGAAGAAGAAAAAGGAAGGGAAAAAAAUAAAAAUCAAAGCUUACCAGAGUAGCAGAAGUUGCCGGAGUUACAGUUGUGCGAUGAAUGAUAGCAGCCACAGUGAAUAACUUGUAAGUUGGUAGUGUUAAAAUGUGUAGAUACACCCUAAAAUUAUCUUAUAUAUCCAAAAUCCUAAUUUUUUAAAAAAACAAUUAAAAGGUGUCGCCUUUCUCGCCACUUCGCCAUUCUCGCCAAGGCGUCGCCUUUUCAUUUUCGCCUCGCCAUGGACUGCUGUGGUGACAUAGGGUCGGCUCGCCUCGCCUCUCGCCAUUGGCGACGUGGCGCUCACCAUUUACAACACUGCUGGAUAGUGUCGAGCUUCAGCGGAAGACCCAUUAUGACUUCUGUCAUCAUAGUUCUCUGAUUGUUGUCGAAUUCAUUGUCAGCUGAGCUCUCCAAUACCUAAAUUCGGUUUUUAAGCUCAGCCAUCUGCUCCUCUAUUUUGGCCAUUUGCUUUAAUUUCUUCAGAGGCUAGCUAUUUUAAUGAUAAAUAUUUAGUUAUUAAAAUUUGUUGACGCCAAAUUUUUACACACCAAAUCAGUGAAUAUAUAAUGUCUUUUUCCUAUGGUGUUUGGUCUCGAUCCAUGUGGGUCUAUCGGAAACAACCUCUUUACCUCAUCUCUGAGAUAGUGGUAUGGAUUGUGUACAUUCUAUCCUAUCCAGACCCAAGUAUGUGCGAAUAUACUGAUAUGUUAUUGUUGCUGUUUUGUUUUUACUCAAUCUGUUAGCACUUAAUUGUAUUCAAUCAAUACGGACCUUUAGAUGGAAAGUAGACAAACAUGUCAUUUUGCUAUUCUUUUGUCGUUCUUAUUUUAUCUUAUUUUGUGAUAAGCAAACAUGGUAUUGAUUUGUGAUAAAGUUUAAAAAAUGCAACAAUAUUUUAGCUUGUGGUAGUGAAAAUGGCUCUAUCCGUACUCCUUUCGUUGAGGUUUGUUCAUCUUUUCAUUUGGAUAAUGAGGUAUAUGCUGAUAUCCCUGUAGUUUUAAAUUUGACUUAAUUAGUCAGUUAAAUCUUUUUCUGUUUUGAAUUGUACAAGUAUCAUAAAUCCGCUAUCAUGUGUUGUAACGCCUUCUAUAACUGCAUUGCUGUUAUUGCCACCAUACUUGGGGUAAGUUUGACUUACUGAUUUCAACCUUUUUGUAGGGUUAGUGACAUAUCCCCCGAAGUAACUGAACAUGAUAAUUUUUAAUCAUCCAACUCGAGCAAGAAUAAAAAGAGUACAGUUCGAAGGGAAGGAAUUGAACUACUACUUAACAAUUUUGUUUUUUCUUCAUUCAUAUUUGUAGCUAUUCCAAACCAUUUCUUCGAUGAUAAUUCUGAAUGCUACUAUCAGUGCUCUCUCCUCCUUGAAAAGAAAUGUUUUGUUUUCCUUUCAUGUAUUCCAUCCUUCGGAGUUUCAAUGGUCUUUGAAAAUCCAUCAAAAGGACUUUCAAAGUUGCAGCAUAUGUUACCUCAAUUGGAAUUCAAUUAGUCGACAUUCAGGUUGGUAACUUAAGAAGUAAAAGAUAGUAAGUUCUUUCCUUUAUUCCCAAAAUCUAUUUCACUAUAUUUUGUGUCUUCUGAAAUAUAUCAUUCAAAUUAUCAACAUCAAAUAAUCUUCACUUUUUACUUAAUUUGCUUUUCUAAAACACAGAAAAAACAAUUUUGGAUUGUCAUAUCAGUACAUGUCUGUAACUAAAUUUUCAAGCAUUUCGUUAUUUUGCUUCAAUUUCUUGCAGAUUUGACGACAAUAUGGAAGAGAAAUAUUUUUUUCAAUAUUUGGACCAAAAGGUAAGUAUUAUUAUUAGUUGGUACUGUCUUCCUUCUCCCUUUCUUCUAAGUUAAUUUUUGCACCAACAUCUACUAUUUAGUUACUACGCCUAAUGAUAAAACUUGUAUCAUUGUGACACUAACAUAAACCUGCGAAUCGGGUAAGGUUUCUGAAGUAACUAUCUCAGAUUACUUAUGUUUCUACUUUCCUACCACCUAAUUAAAUAUUAGUCAAUUUUCUUUUGUGUAUUCUUAAUCUUUUCUUUAGAAUUUGUUUCUCUUUUGCCAUAGUUUAUUCAGUCCUGUUGUAUUCACAAUGUGUUUUUUCCGGUGUUGUGUUUUGUGUUGAUCUAUUGAGACCAACUACAAUUCGUAUAAAGUGAAGUCUUAGAAUAAGGUUUGGUAAAUUCUGUUGAAGAUGAUCAUAAAAAAAUAUAUCCCCUCUAUUUAAUUCGUCUGCGCUAUUUUCACUUGACAUAGAAUUUAAUAAAGUAAAAAAAAACUUUUGAAUUUGCGGCCUUAAUUUAAAGAUAUGUCAAAUGUAUAAAAAUAUCCUUUAAUCUUAUGGUCUUAAAUUUGCCAUGUGGAAAGUUGGAACAAGCGAGUUGCUAAAAAGGGGAAAACAUUCUUUUUGAAACGGCCUAAAAAGGUUAGCAAGACAAUAGUUAUUAGGAGGGAGUAUCAAUUAGGGGGACACAAUAAGUUUGUUAUUAUUUGGUUCUUACAGUUUGUCAGAAUGUGGAUUGGCGGUGAUGCUGAAUCAAAUAAUAUAUUAUACAUUUAAAGAAGUGGACUUUUCUACAUGUGAGGAAGAAAGUAGUUUGAAAUUCUUGAUGCUGAAGAAGAUACAAAAUGAAGAGAUCCAACAUCAAGGGGACUGAUUAUAUGUGCAACUUGAUUUGGAUAAAUACUAACACAUUAAAAUGGCUUGCGGUUCUUCUUUAGUCAAGAAACUAGGAAAAGAACAUGUUUUACCUUAAUUCUGAUAUGAAGCAACACAAUCAAUAAUAUAGUAUCUCUCCUUCUAGAAAAUCAACUUUUUUUACUUAUAAUUCAUUAAAAUUUUGUGCUUUAGAUUUCAUCUUUUAUAUUCUCUGUUUAUUAUUUUUUGUGCUAUGGACAGGAGGAUCUCAACUCAAUUGGAAUAACAAAUUAUCUCAGACAUGAAUUGUGCGGGUUCAAGUAUAUAGGUAUUUAUAAAGUUUGUGAUUUCUCAUGGAGAUAUUUUAGUUGUUUUGUCACUUGAAAUAUGAAUGGGGACGUCUAAAAGAUAUUUCCAUGUCAGUUGAAAUUUUUGUUAAUUUCAAAUGAGUCUUGUUCCUUGAAUAGACAGUCUAUAUAAGAGGGGCCACAAAUUCUAAUGAAAUUCAACUUAACUUCUAUCCUUACUGAUUGAGGUGGUAACUUCUCUCUUUCUGUUAACUUUUCUUUUUACUUUGCUUAUCAAGUUGUGUCUUGAUUAUAGCAAGUCUUUAGUAGCCAUCUUUAUAAGAUUUUCUUUUAUCAAAAAUGAAAAAGAAAUGGAGUAUGCAAAUGAACUUACAUGGAGUCUCUCAUCUUUUUUUUUUUUUUUAAUUAUUAAUUCCUUUGUCUAAUUUAUGGUAUGAAAAGUAAAUGGUGCGUAAUUUGUAGAUAUAUCGUUCCCAUUUAAAAUUCUAUUGAUUUUCUAUAUGUUUUGCUACCGUUUUGUAGCUUGCUCACCUUAUUUAUAAUUUUUUUACUUAGUAGUAAAAGUUUCUUUUAUUUGUAUAGGUUCAUUUUAAUGAGCUAUACAAGAUAUUUGAUUGUGGAAAACCUUCUUUUAAACCCAAUAAAAAGAAAAUCUAGCUGUAUCAUGUUGUUGAUUUGCAAACAUGCGUUCGUCUAAAUAAUAUCUUUAGGAUUAUGUUUUAUCAUGUUAAUAUAUGAGCAGUCUAUGUUGGUUUGUAAGGUGAGAUAACUAAUUUAUGAUGAUGUUUUAUAGAAUUUUUGGUGUGUUAAUACAUGGGUAAUGCAUUAAAUUACUGUGUUGAUGCAAAAAAAAAUUAUAUUUUUGUGACCAGAUAAAUAUAUUUGUUGCUCGAAGGAAAAGAAUUGCUGCAUCGCUUUUUGCACGUUUUAUGAGUUAUAAGAAGGAAAUUUCAUUCAAGGUGUUGAUGUAUCAAGAUACAAGAAGUGGUGUAUGAUUCGGUAGAGAAACUUUUCAUCAUACAUAUUUGGGAGUUUGUAAAUCAGCAUGUGACAUUUGAAAUUUUCAUGAAUUUUCAUAGUGACAUUCUUGGUAUCAAGCAAGUGAAGAGUAUAUAGUUGCAAAUUGUAAGCCUUUGUUAUCCCUUCUCUUAUGUUUGUGUCUAUUUUGAUUCAUUUCAAUCUUCAUGUGAAAAAAUUUAAUAUUCAUUGAUACUUCUUAGUUGUUAGAAUCAUAAUAAUCCGAAGCUAUCUUUCGGAUAUGUUAUUUUAGUACUUUCUAUUUUGUUUUUGAAUUUCUUUUUAAGGUGAAAUAGUAGGAUUGAUCUCUCAUUCUUGCUAAUUUAAAGUUGUAAGGAAGAUAUCAAUAGAAUUGAAGGCAAGAACUGAUUGGGAAAUAAUUUUGAAUUUCAUGCAUUUUGGCCGGUGAAAAUUAAGUCAUUCCUGACCGCGCGAAGUGCGGACAAGUUACCUAGUAUAUAUAAAAAUGAACAUCCUCAAUAUCAAGUAGAAGGCUUAGCUCAGCAACAAGGGGGUUCAAUUUUGGGGUUGCGGGUGCAGGUUUGAUUCCCGCUAGCUACUACAUAUAUUUAUGGAACUUUUUAGCUUAGGUUUUAGAGUUUCUUUGUCUUUAUUAAUUGAAACAAAUAUCUCAUUCUAUUUAAACUCCCAAUCUCAAAUUCGAAAAUAUUUUUUAAAGAACCGUAUCAAAUGUAAAUGUGUAAGUGAUUCUGAAAUUAUUCCUUGAUUAGUGAAUUGGGAUUGAUAAAGGGUUAUCGAGGAACUUGAGGAGCUCGUAAAAUAUUUGUUAUGGUUAUUUUUUCGCUGAAGAUUAUGUGACAAAAGAAAGUUCUGCCACGAGAGAGAUUUCUACAUAAAUUUGGACUUUUGUGAUAUUUCACGAGGCUAAGAAAUAAAAAUCGUAACAUAUUUUGUUAACUUUCUCCGAUUUUGUUGUUCAUGUUGAGGUAGAAUUAAAUUUUAUUUGGCCUCUUAUAUUUGAUCUGUCCUUCUCAAAAGUUGUAAGAUAAAAGAGUACCGCAAGCAACUUCCACUAGUUUCUUAACUGGUCACAAGUAUUAACAAUAGCAGCUAAAUUUUAUGUGCAGCUAGAUCGCUUCCAGCUGUUAUCACCCUAUCACAUUAUGGCAUUCUAUUAUUGCUAGUAUCUGUAAUUUAUAAUUUCAGAGGGAAUUCAGCUUGUUAGAUUACAGAUUCUAUUUAUUUCAUUUGGCAGGAGCAAGGUAUAGCGAUCCUUACUAAAGCAAUUGCAGCUUGCACUGAGGAAAUAGAGCGUCACAAAGGAAAACUUGCUGUCAAGGAGGCUCCAAGAGCGGUGAGCAGACUUUUUUUUUAAAAAAAUUAUGCGUGAUUUUUUAUCUCAUCAUAAUUGUGGAAUGUUCUGUGUAUACUCUACCCUGAGGUAGUGUUCUAAGCCGGGGGUCUAACGGAAACAGCCUCUCUACUUCACCUGUGGUAGUGGUAAGGUCUGCGUACACUCUAGCCUCCCUACACCCCACUAUGUGGGAAUACACUGGAUAUGUUGUUGUUGUGCAUAAUUGUGGAAUGUGCUUCUUCAUACCUUUGAAGAGGCCUUAAUUUGAUAUAUGCCACAGUUCAAUCAGGAUAUGAGAUUGAGAAUUGUGAAAUUUGAGACCAGAUUUACCAUAACACAUUGUUGGUAAAUCUUAAUAAUCAUGUGAUGGUUGGGCAAGAGUUAGGGGUUUCUAUAUCACUGAUGCCAUGCUUAAUUAGUAUUUUUACUUUGAAAUUAUUUUCAAACUAGUAUAGCAUGGUCCUUGAUACAUAUAUAUGGAUGGAAAUAUGUAUGUUGUCCUUGAUACAUAUAUAUGGAUGGAAAUAUGUAUGUUCAAUUGAAUAAAGCGCUUCUUCGAUCCGUCUCUCUUUGCAAGGCACUGCUACUAGCACUCUGGAUGCUUACUAAUUGAGACCGUUGUCGUAUUAGUUGGUCCUAAAAUCUCAUUUGGGUUUUAUUGCUCUAGUAUGGAUGUACGCGGGCAAAAUGUUUCAGUUAAUAAAAUGGUGAUAUAUUUAAAUUUCAAUGGACUUGUUUUAGGUUUUCGAAUAAAACACUAUUUACAUAGUUGGCGAGAACUACGUUAUUCAGCUUAUCACUUAGAACUGAAACUAACAUGAGUUAGACUCUAUACAUGUUCCUAGGAGAGUUUUGGAUAUUGUAUUGACUGGAAUUGAAAACUUCAAUAGGGAACAAGACAAAAAGAAAUGAAUGCAUCUCUGGCUAUUUUUUUUCUGUUCUUUUGUUGCUUUCCGUUUUGGGCUGUUAUUCUUGUUUCUUCUCUGGCGAUUCUGAUGUGAGUUAUCUAUUCAAGUGAGUGAACGGGAAGACAAAUUGCUUGCUGAACAGAUGGCUAAGCUCGGUCGUGAAAAUGAGAUCAGUGGUGAUGAAGAUAGUGAAGAGGAGGAAGAUACCGGGAUGGGAGAAAUUGAUGUGGAGUACUCAGGAACUGGAAUUAGAGAGUAAAAAGUGAGUAAAAAGUGUGGCUUGUAUGAACUUGGAUGACACAUUCUUCACAGAUGCAGAUCCUACAGAACCUACCUCACCUUUUGUUCUUGUCUUUUUGUAGCCAUUUGCUUACUCUGGCAAUUUUUCUUGACGAGCAUUUUAGUUUUUACAUGAAAUCACUCUUGAUAUUUAUGUUGGUGCGGCUAUUUGAUAAUUCCAAUCGCAUUAGUACAUUUUGCAAUGAGAAUGAAC